rnacentral:rRNA from 1 species
UACGUAGGGGGCGAGCGUUGUCCGGAAUUAUUGGGCGUAAAGAGCGUGUAGGCGGUUCGGUAAGUCUGUCGUGAAAACCUGGGGCUCAACCCCAGGCGUGCGGUGGAUACUGCCGGGCUAGAGGAUGGUAGAGGCGAGUGGAAUUCCCGGUGUAGCGGUGAAAUGCGCAGAUAUCGGGAGGAACACCAGUAGCGAAGGCGGCUCGCUGGGCCAUACCUGACGCUAAAGCGCGACAGCAUGGGGAGCAAACGGG